rnacentral:tmRNA from 1 species
ACUCGUUGGACCCGGGGGCGGUACCCGGCGCCUCCACCAAAAUAUAAUUUCAUCUCUUAUAUUUUGGUGGGGGCGAAAUAGGAUCGACAAGAGCGUAAAGAUUGCUCUUUUACUCGGCAUAGUACCACCGUUAUCGGACUAAAUGAGUAGUUGCAAAUGACAACUAUGCGGAAGUACGUCUCGCCGCUUGAGGUGGUGUGAAUGCUUCAAAUUAAGUCUUAAACCGUCGCAGGUUUAAGCGGGGUUCGAAGG